AUUGAACGCUAGCGGCAGGCCUAACACAUGCAAGUCGAACGCAGUGGGGACGGGUGAGUAACACGUGGGUAACCUCCCAUCAGAGGGGAUAACACUUGGAAACAGGUGCUAAUCCGAUAUUGAUUGAUGGACCCUCGGUGCAUUAGCUAGUUGGUGAGGUAACGGCUCACCAAGGCCACGAUGCAUCGCCGACCUGAGAGGGUGUUCGGCCACACUGGGACUGAGACACGGCCCAGACAACUACGGGAGGCAGCAGUAGGGAAUGUUCGGCAAUGGACGAAAGUCUGACCGAGCAAUGCCGCGUGAGUGAAGAAGGUUUUCGGAUCGUAAAACUCUGUUGUUAGAGAAGCGGUAUCUAACCAGAAAGCCACGGCUAACUACGUGCCAGCAGCCGCGGUAAUAC
rnacentral:rRNA from 1 species